UAACCAUUAGGUCUCUCCAUUUACAGUUAGUUUGUAACUUGCUGAAUGUGAGGCCAUGUAUAUUGCAGAUACCACAAGGGAUGGAACUAUAGAAAGAUGAGUUAGUUUUGGAUUGCAUGAUGCACUACUGGUGGCCGUCUUAACAAAUCAAGUAGCCUGGAAGAUAAAAUAAAUAUUAAUUCUUUCGAAAUAUUAUUAGCUCGGUUGCAUUUUUAACGAGUGACAAUGUAGACUGUCUCAUUUUAUUUUCCUUGCUUCUGCAUUUUAAUGUGUUCAGCGUUAUUGUUGCCACCGCAGGUGAUUUUUUUAAACUUGUAUCGCUCUCAACAUCAUACUGAUCACUACACUUCUGCACUGCAGUACCUGAGAAAAAUAUCCAUGUUUAAAAACCAUGUCUUCCUCAUCUACGAUGUACUUCUCUAAUCAGAUGUCCCUGAAGAUUGAUUGUUGUGUAGAUAGUUUACUAACAUCUAUGAACCAGUGUUCUGGUGCCUUCAAACUGAAGUGGAAUCUGUUGUUGGCAGGUGCAUGUUGGCAUUGGUGUAUGCAUUCUUCCUAACUGGUGGAGUAUAUAACUUCAAGGGAUGUAGUUCAAAUAUAUUAUUGGAUUAAUGCAGAAGACAUUCAUAAAUCAUGCGGCGUUGUCGAAGUGAUGUUUCUGAUGCUUGAAGAACUACUCCCUGGGUGAGGGUCCCCUAUCCAUUCCAGUGGAGCUCGUGCAUUUCAUUGCAAAACAGUAGUUUUUGUCAGCGGAUUAUCAAAGCAGAUAUCCUUUGUCUCGAAUAAACGAACUAACACUCACUGGUACUUCUGCAACUUUCAUCAUAUCAUGCUUCUUCAUUGCUUGUCAAUUUAAGCCCUCCAACGCGAGUUGUUAGCAGAGGGAUUGGCCUCCAGGGGACUUCUGCUUUUAUUGCCGGACUAUUGGGUACAAGAACAAGAUCGACGACAUUAACAGAGAACAUCCAAACUCCCUUAUUACAAUGGGCAUGCCCAACAAGUUGGUUGUAUCAUCAAUAUGUCGUCAUCCAUGUGUUCACAAACUAAAGGUGGUUUUCCUCUAUUGAUUCAGGCAACCUAGAAAAGGAUCUUAAGCUCACUCAUGAUCCAUUGCUCAUGUACUUAUGGUGUUUGCUCUGAACAAGUACUGAACUGCAGACGAUGCGCAGCAGGCGACGGCGCUAGGGCCGAGACGGCGACCGAGACUGAGCAGAGCGGCAGCGCUGGAGGCGGGGAUGCGUGAGUUGGAGGAGGCCCUUCGUGUGGAGGGCAAUGCCAGGCGGUGGUCCAAAACGGCGGCAGAUGGUGAGGAGCACCCGAUACGGAAGAAUCAGUUUUCAAUUGUUGAUGUCCAGGACAAUUUUGAGAAGCUUUCAAUGUACAAGGGACUUUCUGCAAAAUGUAAAUUACACUACCGCUCCGACAAGUUCCGCGGGACGGAGGGAGUACAAUGGAUUGAGGACCCCGGUUGAAGCGUUGGAGAUUCGAUGUGAUAGGCUGAUUAAUUGAUGGUAGAGUAGCUCAGUACCCAGAUGUUUGCCGAUCGCAUGCGAAUGCAGUCGUUUUUGCUUGUCUGGCGGAUAGUGAGGGUGAAAUGCAUCUAGAUCCAACACGCUAUAGUGAGGUACUCCUACAAAUAGUGGUUAGAAGGUGCGGUAUGUCCAUUUAAUUUCUUACUGCACUACUGAAAAAAUUGACUGCCUACAGUGUAAGUUCCCAAUAUUUUAUCUUGCCUUAGUUGCCAAAAUAUAUUUGUUUUGCUCUGAUUGUAAUAAAGAGGUGGGUACCAUUUGUAUCUCUAGAUUAGUUGCUUUGUUCCUUUCUACAAGUAGUUAAAUAUUUGUGUUACAGCACAUUGUUGUGUUAGAUCUUGACAAGAUAAUACCAACAGAGAGAAAAUGCUGGGCUGGUACAGAUCUACACAUGAACAUGAGUAACUUUUGAUUUUGAUGCUACAUUGUGGCUAUGUUGUGAUGUAGUUUAUUGAAAUGAAUGCACAUCACAGUUAUUCUCCACGCGCAAUAAGUGCUAAUGAUUUUCUAUACUUGCAGAGAGGG